AGUGACCUUUUGUUUUGGGAAAUAGCCUGAAAAAUUACUUGCCUUUUUUUUUUUUUUCCCCUCUCUCUCUCUUUUUAUUCUUUUCAUUCAAAACAGAGAAAAUGAUACAAUAAGAAACCUACCCAGAACGAGGCAAUGUAAAAUUACCUUCUUCUACAGGAUCAUCCAAUGAUGACUUUGAAAUGACCUUUCUGUUCGUAACUAGGCUGAUAAUGUUGUGUAAGCAUUUGGCAACGUCUGUGUGAUGUGGAGUUUGUGUCAGAAACAGGAAGGUCUCUUCUGCCAAAGCACCAGUAGAAAGAAACACACACUUGCCAUACUGAGAAGGGUUCUGGUAAAAUACCAGUAGACAUCAACUGGCUGAGAAAAGGAAAAUUGGAAAACUGAGCCUAAGCUGUAAUGGGAGGCUCAUCUUCUCACAGAUGGCCAAGAGAGCAAAGAGAUGAAUGAUUUUGAGGACAGAGAUAAUACCAUGCUGGAAGGGAUGUCUUGCAUUGGUAACUUCUG